ensembl:lncRNA
ACCAAUCACAGUCUACUGCAUGGUAGAUGGCUGUUCUUUACUGUGGUUGAAUCCCAAGCCAUCUGCUACAUUUCUUUCUUCCGGGAGUCACCGUUGAAGAAAAAGAGAAACCAGACUUGUCUUCUCACCAUGAAGAUGUCCAAGCAAGCAAGCAGCUAACCAGAGUUUAGAGGACUGUGGGGAAUGGGUGUCUGCGGUUACAAUGACAGAGUCUGAAACCUGAGAUGGGAGGCCCACAUGGCAAUGUGGUGGAGAGGAGAAAAUAAACAGUCAGGAAAAGACAUACUGGAGACUGGUAUUGCUGUUUGUUGGAUACAAGAUUCUUUACCAAAAUUUCAGUAGUCUCAGACAGCACACCUGCAGACCAGC